UCAAGAAACUUCCACAAUGGGCGAAAGCCUGAUGGAGCGACGUCGCGUGAUGGACGAAGUGCUUCGGCACGUAAACAUCUUUUAUGUGGGAUGAAAUUAUUGACAGUACCACAUGAAUAAGGGGCUCCUAACUCUGUGCCAGCAGGAGCGGUAAUACAGAGGCCCCAAGCGUUAUCCGGAAUCACUGGGCGUAAAGGGUGUCGAGGCGGUUGUAUUAGUCGUUCGUAAAAUCUACGAGCUUAACUUGUAGGCGGCGAACGAAACGGUACGACUUGAGGUUUGGAGAGGUGCGUGGAACUCACGGUGUAGGGGUGAAAUCCGUUGAUAUCGUGGGGAACACCAAGGGCGAAGGCAGCGCACUGGCCAAAAUCUGACGCUCACACACGAAAGCUAGGGUAGCGAAGAGGAUUAGAUACCCUGGUAGUCCCUGAGCGGGCUGGCAAGGCGCAU
rnacentral:rRNA from 1 species